CAUCGGCGAAAGUAUUUUCGAUCGUCCGCAGAAGGUGAAGGAAGGAUGAAGAAUGCCCCGCGCUGGCGGAGGAGACGGGGGUAGUGGACCCCAGAGGACAGGGGGUGGCUUCGGAGGAUGGCUGGGUGGCGCUGCAAGGGCUAUGACGGGUGGAGGCGUUGGUGGUGGAUACGUUGUUCUGGGUGGCACCAGAUAUGGUCUGCGGAUCUCUCAGGAGAACCUGCCGCCGGUCAACUCCAGAGAGGAAUCGCAGGAGCGCCGGCGGAAGCGGAAUUCGCACGAGAGCGACUCGCGGGAGCGGCUGACCGAGAGAUCGGUGGCGGAGAAGUCGCCGAUCGAUCUAACGGCCAGCAUCGCCGAUUGCUGCUGCAUCGGUCCACGAUCGCGCCUUCCGCUCCCGCGGAUCCCGCCGGCGAUCUCCUCCUCUUCGACCAUGUUCUCGCCGGCGACAGCGGCAUCGUCCGCGUCGUCGUCGUCGGCGUCGUCGUCGUCAUGCCCUUCGAUCGUCGCUGGCGGUUAUCCCUCCGGGAGCAUCGCCGGCGGCUGCUCGCCGCCUCUUCCUGCUUCUGCCACGAGCGUCGCGGAGACGACGCCGACGCCGACGCUCGCUAAUAAUAGUCGCGGCGCGGUGCAAACAUCGGUGGGGAACAUCGGCAGCACCAGCCAGCAGCAUCAGCAGCCACACCACUACCACUACCAACAGCACUACCCACAAACAGCAGUGGCGGCGGUAACAUCGUCGUACUCGCCACCGACGACGCCGUGCUCACCCUCGACGUCGCUCGGCUACUCGUCCGGCGUCCCGACGACGACGCAGACCGUCUCCGUGCCGCGGCAGCUCGCGCAGUGGACGAAGCAUCAGACGCUCAAGUUGCAGGAACCAGCAGUGAUAGCGGUGGACCGAUUGCACAGGUUUCGGUGGAGCGGGGGCGGAGGAGGAAGUGGCAAGAAGUCCUCUUCCGGCCCCCGCAGCGAGAAGGCCGAGCGCCUUCGCGAGCUCACCGAGAAGCUCAAGGGACCAGCACCGGUCCCACCACCCAGAAGACCGUCGCGAGUGCAGGCUUCCUCCCCUCCUCCGAGCGGAUACCAGCCGUCUCAAAAUUAUCCACAGACGGGUUUGAAUCCAAGUUGUGGCCGUUGUGAGGGUCGCUCGUCCCAUCGCAGCUAUACAUACAGCGAGGGCAGUCAACAUGGUGGUAACAAUCAGCAGACACAGCAUCAACAGCAGCAGCAGCAGCAGCAAGAAAAUCCGAAGACGAUGGUCCGCAGUGAAAGUGUCAGUGAAGAGUGCCUCAGUGAUCGGUCGGGAAACAAUAUAUACCGGAAGUCCUGCCACGACUCGAGGAAGACCUCGAGAUCAAGCAGACCCGAGAGAAACAGUGAUGACGUCAGUGACCUCAGGAGCAAACCGAAUGCCAAUGCGGAGGCGGCGAAACACUUGAGACAGUACAGUGAUUCCGUGGUGGACAGUGCUACGAGUGUGGACGAUUUGUGCGAUAACCCGAACGCUUCCGUUGGCGGCAACGACGGGGAGGCCCGGGAUGCUAUCACCAGGCUGGAGCCGCGUGGGCUGCUCGCCUUUCACAGGUCCGGCGCGCCCUACAGGAGUGCCUCCUUCGGCCAGGUGGACUUUAAUCAAGCGAAUCGACAGAAAACCCAGCCGAUCGUAACGUCUAAUCGCUCCGAGACCAAAGACGUUCGGGCGAGCACGCUGCCUCGUCGACGAGGUGAUGUCACACCAGGUAGCACGACACCUCAAAACAGCCCCAAUCGACAGAGCCCGAGGACGUCGACGCCCAGCGUCGACAGCGCCGUCGGUUCUGCCGAGGGUCUGGGUGUUUCGCAGCAAGGGAACCACGAGGAGAUCCGGCCCAGGAGCGAUGGUUCAGACAGUCUGGCGACUUCCAGCGCACUCACCAGCCCGGAACCACUAGUUCCGGAGACGAACCAGAUUGAGCCCAGGGUCGAUCUGGUGCAAACGGAUGCGCCCACCGCUGAGCUCGUUGGCCACGAGUCUGUGUACCCGGUCGUCGAGGGAAAUAUCGUGGAGGAAACCAUUCAAAAAGAGACCAGGAUAGAGCCGCACGAGGUGAUCAUCACACCACCCCCGGAGGAACCGCGACUGAGUCAAGCGAGCGAGGGUAGCGAGGCGCCGAGCGAGACGCCCUCGGAAGCGUCCUCGCCGUCCGGCAAGACGAGACGAUACCGGGGCGAUACCAGCAAGAGGAGGAAAGGCGUGUACAUAACUCAAUGGCCAGAGCCCUUGGACGCGGACAGGAACAAGCUGUCGGCUCAGAGCAGCGAGGAGAGAGACGAGCCACCUGCGACGCCCAGCGACCUGUCCGACUGCGAGGGCCACACGCCUCGAAGGUAUAGCAAGAGGCCCCUUCGCGGGCCCUACGGGCAGAUGCUGGAGGCCGAGAUGGCGAAGCCGCGCACCACCGACAUCGCGCUCGAGGAAGGUCUUCGUCCUCGCAGAAAGAUCUCCGCGAAUCUCUCGUACAACGCGAGCAGCAACAACAACAGCGGCUCCGAGCCGCCCACGCCCUGCCACCAUCGGGCGACCUCCAGCCCGACCAAACUUGAGGGACUUCCGGGGCCGAGUCCGGAGCUGCUCGCGGAGCUGCUGAGAGGGUCCUCGGAAAGGGUGGCUCGCGCACCGGCGCAUCGAAACGACACGAGGACUCACGUGGUCGUGGAACUUUACGAUACGGAACGCUCCUAUGUAGAGGCGCUACAAAUACUAGUCAAUAAAUACCUACAGCCCCUGAAGAGUCCCGAAAAUGCCGGUCUGGUGGACGCCGGGACAGUCGACGAGAUAUUUUAUCAGAUCCCUGCGCUUCUCAGUCAUCACGAGGUAUUCUUGGAGGAGUUGCGUAGGCGACUGGAUACCUGGGAACUCAGGCAGACGAUCGGCGACGUCUUCCUCGAUGUGUUCACGAAGCCAGUGGUGCUGGAGACGUACACCCUGUUUCUGGACAAUUGGAAGUCCGCGAGGAAGGCGAUAAAAACAACGUGCCAAGCGAAGCCGGCCUUCGCACGAUUUCUCGAGACAAUGGAGCGCGAGCACAAGGGCAAACUGGGUCUGGACCAGCUGCUGAUCAAACCCGUGCAGAAGAUCCCGCGGUACGAGCUGUUGAUCCAGAGGCUGCUAAAACACACGGACCCGACGCAUCCCGAUCAUGAGUUGCUGCAGGCCGCGCAGAAGGAAGUGCACGAGCUGGUCGUGAAGAUCAACUGCACGGAAAGGGAGUCGCUCGAAUGGGAGCAGCAGCAGACCACGCUGAGAGAGGUCCAGGCCCUCGUCGAAGGUCUCGCCGGCAUCGUAACGAACGACAGAGCUUUCGUCCGACACGAUCUGGUCACCAUAGCGUCGAAUCAGGGCACACGGAAGGAGCGGGCUUUAUUUUUGUUCUCCGAUCUCCUCGUCAUCACCAGCAUCAAGCGCAGAAGCGGCACGAUAAGAAAGCCGUCAACAAGCACGUGUCCAAACAGCCUGGUCGGCCUGCUCGACGCAAACAAGUACAAAAUGCUGAUGCGGAUCUCGCUGGAUGAUCUCGAAGUGAUGAAAGCCAAAGACGAGAAUUUAAGACGAAUGGCGCGCGAAGUGGACUAUCUCCGAGAAGACUGCACGAAGUUGACUCAGCUGCAGGAGCUCGCCGCGACUUUGCACGGUGCCAAGCAGCAGUUGGAAGAUCUUAUCAAGGAUAUGCUGAGUCAGGCCCAGCGACAAUUGGCCGAAAGAAACGCGGCGCAUUCGCAGUUGGCCUGUUUAGAACUUACACUCAAUACUCAAGCCGGGAUCGAGAAUAUAUCCGUCAUGUUCGCAAAGCCUGACAAACGUGCGAGUUGGGAGGAGAGUUUUAAUGAAGCCAAACAGAAGCUCGCACUGUCGGCGGACAGGAGACCGUGUCCUGAAUUCGUGGGGCCUCUGCCCAUCAGGAAAACACGAGCGGGCCUGCAGUUCACCUGUGCGGCGCCGACUUUGGCGAACGGGCAGGGAUCGAAGGACGUCUGGGUCUGCAACAGCGACGGUUACGUCGGUCAGGUGUGCGUGCUGAGCUUGAGCCCGGAACCACCGCAAGUAACGUCGUGCAACGGAGUCUGCAACGCCAGGAUACUCUGCGUCGCUGGAAUACCCGCGUGCACGCCUGGCUCGAACUCGUGCACGUCGAACAACAGUCCGUUCGCUAACAGCAAGAGUGGCAUAAGUAUAUCGGUGCAAGAUGUGGAUGCCAGCGGCGGUAACAUACAGUUAGACAGUAGCUCGAGCUCCGACGAUUCGGACUCGGACGACAUUCCAUGCGCAGACACGGGCAGCGUAACGCUGAGCGGCGACGUAUCGAGUAUCGACAAUACCACCACCGAGGAGGAUGCGAAUCAGCCCACGAUGUGGCUGGGAACCGAGGACGGCUGCAUUCAUGUGUACAACUGCAACGACAACAUUCGAAUCAAGAAGAACAAAGUGAAGAUACAGCACAGCAGCAGCGUGCAUUGCAUCAUAUACUUGGACAACAAGGUGUUCGUCUCUCUUGCCAACGGAGACAUCACCGUUUACGUUCGGGACCAUACCGGUGGCUGGAACACUCCGGACCCAACGACGGUGUCCGUCGGGACGGUGGCGUCACCGGUGACCAAAAUGCUAUCUGUCUCCGGGAAACUUUGGUGCGGGUGUCACAACAGCGUUAAAGUUCUGAAUACCCACUCUCUGGAUAUCGAGCACACGUUCACCGUGAGCAGCGACACGAGCCGCGCGGUUUCCUGUAUGGCGAACUCCGGGGGUUUAAGCGUUUGGAUUUCCUUACACAACAGCGCUGUGCUGAGGCUUUUCCAUUCCAGUACAUACGAGUGCCUAACCGAUAUCAACAUCGCGCCAGCUGUUACCAAAAUGCUUGCCACAGGUUGCGAUGACAUAAUCCGGCAGCACAAGGCCGCGUGUCUCAGGGUCACCGCACUAUUGGCUUGCAACGAAUUGCUUUGGAUCGGCACGAGCGCCGGCGUGCUGCUCACCGUGCCAAUUCCCCAUAUAAAGCCAUCUACUCAGAGGAUGUCGCAGCCGCCGAUCGUGACUGGAAUUCCUCACGGACACACAGGACACGUGCGCUUUCUCACCUGUGUGGAAACGCCAAACAACUCGAAACCAGAUCCUCGUCCAAAAGUGAAUCGUUAUUCAUUGAAGUCGAAUAAAACGCAGCAGAACAACAUCAAUCGCGGCAAACUCCUGGUGAUAUCCGGCGGAGACGGUUAUGAGGACUUCCGCGGACCUCAGGCAUCUGCUGAGCUGCAGGCUGGUCGCGAGGAUUCCACGAACCAUCUACUGUUGUGGAAAGUGUGAUACAAUGUAGCACGACCCCAGGUUCAGGAUGAUACAGUAACAACUUUACUUCUAGCAAGGGUCGCGGUAAAUGGAAAUUGGCAUGAUACGCCGUGGGAAUCGUUGUACGCGCGGCACGCAGGCGGACGUUGCCGCCGUCUGAUCGUGGCCGAUCAGGACGCAUCGGCGCGUCGGGUUUUCAGGGAACGCGGACGGGUUCUCUGGCUGGUAUUAGCCGAAUGGAUCAAGGGUAGGAUGCGGGAGCUGCACUACUCCCAAGACGUAAAGAAAUAUCGGCUGGGGCUCGCGCGAGAGUCCGGCCGAUCGAGGACGGUCACGGAUCUGUCUUUGUCAUCGUUGUACGAUUUAUGAGCGGACUUGUAAUUUCUUGAUCAUGAUCAGUUACGGUCUGAUGCAAGAUCGUCCACCAACGACGAGUGCUCGAUGGCUGUGGGAUUUUUUCUUUUCUCAAAUACAUAUCCGAAAUUAUUUGAAGAUUAACACAGAGGGAAGUAUUAUCCUCUAUUAUGAGAUAAGUUUCUAAUAUGAGACAGCAGGUUUUUAGCAUCCGAAUUCAAUGACAAGUCUUCUUUCGCAACGA